rnacentral:rRNA from 1 species
UACGAAGGGGGCUAGCGUUGUUCGGAAUUACUGGGCGUAAAGCGCACGUAGGUGGAUAUUUAAGUCAGGGGUGAAAUCCCGGGGCUCAACCCCGGAACUGCCUUUGAUACUGGCCGUCUCGAGGGAGGUAGGGGCAUGCGGAACUUCCGGUGGAGCGGUGAAAUGCGUAGAUAUCGGAAGGGACGCCGGUGGCGAAAGCGGCGUGCUGGACCUCUUCUGACGCUGAGGCGCGAAAGCCAGGGGAGCAAACGGG